UACAGAGGUGGCAAGCGUUGUUCGGAAUUACUGGGCGUAAAGGGCGCGUAGGCGGUUCGAUAAGUCCCGUGUGAAAUCCCUCGGCUCAACUGAGGAACUGCACGGGAAACUGACGGGCUUGAGUUCGGGAGAGGGAAGCGGAAUUCCGGGUGUAGCGGUGAAAUGCGUAGAUAUCAGGAGGAACACCUGCGGUGUAGACGGCUUACUGGACCAUCACUGACGCUGAGGCACGAAAGCGUGGGUAGCAAACAGG
rnacentral:rRNA from 1 species